rnacentral:lncRNA from 1 species
AGUGUGAAAGUGCCCACAAAAUCCAUUGUUGAAUCCCCUACCAAGCUGUAAGCAUAAAGGAAUGAAUAUAUGGUAAAAAAGAGGAAGAAGAAGAAGAGCAUCAUGAACGGAGUAGUAGUCGGCCGGCGGUGGGGGGAAUAAGAGGUGAAAGGUGCAAAGAGGACAUCAAGAUUGGUGGGUUUGUACUGUAUUGGUUGAAGAGAUGUGUGCAAGGAAUUGAGGGGUGGAGGAGGGUUAGAUAGAGAUUUGGAAGUGUUGAUGUUGUUGUUGUUGUACGCUAGCUAGCUCUCUCUGUACAUACACUACUGUAAACUUUGAGGAUCACCAUUCAAAUGAAGAUGAGUAUUCCACAUUUACAUGGAUUGGUUGGUAAUCACAAAACCAGUCUGAUUGGGGUGGUGGCUGGUUAGAUGUGCAGCCAGCAAGUGGCCAUCUCAUAUGAUCCAAUAAAUGCAGUCCACUAGUUGCCUAUCCAGUCUCAUGAUCCAUCGAUCGGGUUGGAUGGAUACUAUUCACAGGGGUAAAUUGGUAAUCUUGUCUGGUACUUAGAGUACAGUUUGUUUUGUUAUAUAAACAAAUAAAGGAAAAGAUAAAGCCAACGAACUACUUCAUAUUGAAAUUCCAGAAAAAUUUUGUCCUCCUUGAUAAUGUGUAGUAAUCAAGGAAGAGGAAAUGUCAUUUUCCAGAUUUCACCAGCAUAGAUUUCUCAGCUGUAGCAAAAGAAUCAAAUCAUCAUCACUGCUGUAAAUUCUUCCCUCCGCCGGCUUUUGCUUGUUUACAAUGUCAAACUGGUUAUUACAUGGGAUUUUUGGGUUGAAGUCUUGAAGAGGUUAGCUGGCUAAUAGGCAGAUGGUGUGGGAUAAUA